rnacentral:lncRNA from 1 species
UGUGGUGGCGUGUGGGCUGCUCCAAAGCCUUGAGAUUAGAUCUCAAGGGUACUUCUCUUUUCUCUCUGAAGAAAGAGUUCAUUCCUCUCUCCUACAGCGUUUGGUAUGCAUGUGAAGUAGAUGAUCCGUGCAUCCGGAUCUCGCAAAAUAUAUUGAUUGAAGAGCUUCUUCAAUCUUGAUUAUUUUUUACUGUGAAUCAAAGUGAGAAUUCAUAAGUAUUAUAAAA